UUUAGCAUGGAAUAAUGAAAUAGGACUUUGUUUUAUUUUGUUGGUUUAGGAAACAAAGUAAUGAUUAAUAGGGAUGGUUGGGGGCAUUAGUAUUCCACAGUCAGAGGUGAAAUUCUUGGAUUUGUGGAAGACUAACUUCUGCGAAAGCAUUUGUCAGGGACGUUUUCAUUAAUCAAGCACGAAAGUUAGGGGAUCGAAGACGAUCAGAUACCGUCGUAGUCUUAACAGUAAACUAUGCCGAUUCAGGAUCCUAGAGUGUUAUUUUAAUGACCUCUAGGGCACUGUAUGAGAAAUCAAAAUUUUUGGGUUCCGGGGGGAGUAUGGUCGCAAGGCUGAAACUUAAAGGAAUUGACGGAAGGGCACCACCAGGAGUGGAGCCUGCGGCUUAAUUUGACUCAACACGGGGAAACUCACCAGGUCCAGACAUAAGUAGGAUUGACAGAUUGAUAGCUCUUUCUUGAUUUUAUGGGUGGUGGUGCAUGGCCGUUCUUAGUUGGUGGAGUGAUUUGUCUGGUUAAUUCCGUUAACGAACGAGACCUUAACCUGCUAAAUAGUUGAACCAACUUUGGUUGGUCCCGACUUCUUAGAGGGACUAUGGAUGUUUAAUCCAUGGAAGUUUGAGGCAAUAACAGGUCUGUGAUGCCCUUAGAUGUUUUGGGCCGCACGCGCGCUACACUGAUGAAGGCAACAAGUAAUUCACCUUGGCCGGAAGGUCCGGGUAAUCUUUUGAAACUUCAUCGUGCUGGGGAUAGGGCAUUGCAAUA
rnacentral:rRNA from 1 species